CCAGCAGCCGCGGUAAUUCCAGCUCCAAUAGCGUAUGUUAAAGUCGCUGCGGUUAAAAAGCUCGUUGUUGGAUAUGGGUCUCGGUUGGGUGGUGCCGCCUCACGGUGGUCAUUGCCUCGAUCGGACAAUUCAUUGGAUCUUUUGGGGUGCUCUUAACUGAGUGUCCUGGGUGGCCGUUACGUUUACUUUGAACAAAUUAGAGUGCUUAAAGCAGGUGCACCGCGCCUGAAUAUCACAGAUUGGAAUGAUGGAAUAGGACCUCGGUCUUAUUAUGUAGGUUCUCUGGACUUGAGGUAAUGGUUAACAGAGACAGACGGGGGCAUUCGUACUGCGACACUAGAGGUGAAAUUCUUGCAACGUCGCAAGACAAACAACUGCGAAAGCAUUU
rnacentral:rRNA from 1 species